GUCAGAAAGACCGAGCGGUCUAAGGCUGCGUUCAGGUCGCAGUCUCCCCUGGAGGCGUGGGUUCGAAUCCCACUCCUGACA
rnacentral:tRNA from 1 species